rnacentral:rRNA from 1 species
CAGCAGCCACGGUAAUACGUAGGUCCCGAGCGUUGUCCGGAUUUAUUGGGCGUAAAGCGAGCGCAGGCGGUUAGAUAAGUCUGAAGUUAAAGGCUGUGGCUUAACCAUAGUACGCUUUGGAAACUGUUUAACUUGAGUGCAAGAGGGGAGAGUGGAAUUCCAUGUGUAGCGGUGAAAUGCGUAGAUAUAUGGAGGAACACCGGUGGCGAAAGCGGCUCUCUGGUCUGUAACUGACGCUGAGGAGCUAAAGCGUGGGGAGCGAACAGGAUUAGAUACCCCAGUAGUCCCUGUCUCUUAUACA